rnacentral:rRNA from 1 species
AUUGAACGCUGGCGGCAGGCCUAACACAUGCAAGUCGAGCGGAUGAAGGGAGCUUGCUCCUGGAUUCAGCGGCGGACGGGUGAGUAAUGCCUAGGAAUCUGCCUGGUAGUGGGGGAUAACGUCAGGAAACGGGCGCUAAUACCGCAUACGUCAUGAGGGAGAAAGUGGGGGAUCUUCGGACCUCACGCUACCAGAUGAGCCUAGGUCGGAUUAGCUAGUUGGUGGGGUAAAGGCCUACCAAGGCGACGAUCCGUAACUGGUCUGAGAGGAUGAUCAGUCACACUGGAACUGAGACACGGUCCAGACUCCUACGGGAGGCAGCAGUAGGGAAUAUUGGACAAUGGGCGAAAGCCUGAUCCAGCCAUGCCGCGUGUGUGAAGAAGGUCUUCGGAUUGUAAAGCACUUUAAGUUGGGAGGAAGGGCAGUAAGUGUAUAUCUGGCUGUCUUGACGUUACCAACAGAAUAAGCACCGGCUAACUUCGUG